UAUUUUAUCACUCGGCAAUGUGUUUUAUCACUGUAUAAAUGUGUUUGUGAUGUGUGUCUGUAUCUGUCUCAUAACAGCUCUUAUAUUCUUAUCAGGUUCAAAUGGUUGAAUCUCCUGCUUCUACUUCAGCUGUGCUGUGUCAGGAAAAGUGAAAGUCCUCUUGACGAAACCCCCAUAGAGGGAGAAAAGGGAGGCAACGUCACCCUGCCAUGUAAAUAUAAGGCCAGUGAGAUUUCUGAUAUUCGUUUCAUCAGAUGGGGAAAAUCCAAACACUUUGCUAAAAUCCCUUUUUGUCAGAAUGAAGAAAAAGAGAGUGAGAGUGAGAGUGACAAAGUAUGUAAAAAAGGAGCAUGUGAAGUCGUUCUGAAACAUCUGAACUCCAAUGAUUCUGGGACAUACAUGUUGAGAUUCAUGCACAAAGAUACUCAGACAGAGCUGAAGUACAAACUUGACAUUCAUGGUAAAGUCAAAACUCAUCAAUCCAUCAAGGUUUAUUCAUCACAAGCUCUGUUUAUUCUCAUUCACUUUGUUGCUAAACUGUAUGGCUAAAGUUUUAAUUUCUUAUACAGAAAUUAAAACAGGAUCUCGCUCAGAUGAUGAACUCAAGAGUGACACUGAACAUCAUAGUAAGUAAAACAAAAGGCAUUGAGAGUUUUAAAGUUUAUUGAAACUAUAAUAUUUGUCUCCCCUUCUGCUGUAGAGCACUGGAUUGGACCGGCCGGGCUGCCUGUGUUUGUUUGGAUGGUUCUAGCUCUGAUUCUCUGUUAAAUUAACAAAGAUACACCAAUGUCUGGAUGGAGUUUCCAUUAUAAUUUGCAAAUCUGCAAAAUAUUCUCUCAACAUAUUGUAUGUCUGCACUAUAUUUUGAUUUACAAUGUAUAUGAACAUUUGGACUGCACUAAAUCCUAUGUCGAGAUACUGUUUGUUGACUGUUCAUUUAAUACAAAUAAUCCUUGGCAAUAUUGGCCUAUCAAAUUGCCGUCCAGUCCUGCUCCUUAAGAGCCGUUGUCUAGUUUCUACGGUUCUACACCAUGUACAAAAUCAUGUACUGUCUGAGUAGGUUCUAAAUUUGAUGAAGAACUAACUUUUAUAACUGCUAAAAGGUAUGUUCUUUAUGUAUUUGUUAUUUUAUGUUGUUUUCUACGUGUGUGUAUUUUAGUAUUAUUAUCUUUUUUUCUUUCUUUUUUUAUCUUUUCUGGGCAAUUGUUCUGCUCUCGACUGUGAUGAUAUGAUUGAUAUGACUUUGACGCCUCUGAUGACUUUAAUCUGUGUUUUUUGUUGUUGUUCUUCUUCUUUAAAAUAAUUGCAAAAGAAAGCACUUACUGUUUCUACAACAAAGCUAAUGUUAUCCUUCACUGUCAGCAAAAAGGCAGUUAAACCACAGAAGGAUUUCUAAAAAAAAUUGUUCUAUACAGUAUAUGGUGUGAAUGUAUCUGCAUGUACAGUACUACACCUGCCAUGUUAUUACUGUUUGAUAAUCUGUUUCAUAUCUCACAUUUUUAUUUUGUAGUAGAAGUUCUGAAUGGCCAGUAUUUUUAACAUAACUUUACUCAGGGUGUAAGAGGAAAAUAUAACUCAGCCAAGUUUGUAUAAAAUCCAUGUUAGACAACUUAAUAAAUAACUUUGACUGUUUUAAAGGCUUUGAGAA
ensembl:lncRNA